UGUGUUCCUAGGUCAGCAGCCUCUCUGUUCUGCCCACGUUGUAAGGAUGGCGGAGAAAUUCUCCUUUUGGUGGACAGAGUAACUUACUGAUUGAGGAACUACAGGAAGUUCUUCACAUCAAGAUCUCUAUCCCACACGUUCAGUCUCAACUCCGCCCUUCCAGGACACUUGAGAGGGGCCAGAGUUAUACAGGAAGACAUACAGGUGGUUGGUAUCCGGUCCGAGAUUGUGC